AACGAACGCUGGCGGCAUGCCUAACACAUGCCAGUCGAACGAGACCUUCGGGUCUAGUGGCGCACGGGUGCGUAACGCGUGGGAACCUGCCCUUAGGUUCGGAAUAACUCCCCGACAGGGGUGCUAAUACCGGAUAAUGUCUUCGGACCACAGAUUUAUCGCCCUUGGAUGGGCCCGCGUUGGAUUAGCUAGUUGGUAGGGUAAAAGCCUACCAAGGCGACGAUCCAUAGCUGGUCUGAGAGGAUGAUCAGCCACACUGGGACUGAGACACGGCCCAGACUCCUACGGGAGGCAGCAGUGGGGAAUAUUGGACAAUGGGCGAAAGCCUGAUCCAGCAAGGCCGCGUGAGUGAUGAAGGCCUUAGGGUUGUAAAGCUCUUUUACCCGGGAUGAUAAUGACAGUACCGGGAGAAUAAGCUCCGGCUAACUCCGUG
rnacentral:rRNA from 1 species